GACGAACGCUGGCGGCGUGCUUAACACAUGCAAGUCGAGCGAGACCCCUUCUUCGGGAGGGUGUUCUAGCGGCGAACGGGUGAGUAACACGUGGGCAACCUGCCCUCAGCUCUGGGAUAACUCCAAGAAAUUGGGGCUAAUACCGGAUAUGACCGCUGACCGCAUGGUCUGGUGGUGGAAAGAUUUAUCGGCUGGGGAUGGGCCCGCGGCCUAUCAGCUUGUUGGUGGGGUAGUGGCCACCAAGGCGACGACGGGUAGCCGGCCUGAGAGGGUGACCGGCCACACUGGGACUGAGACACGGCCCAGACUCCUACGGGAGGCAGCAGUGGGGAAUAUUGCGCAAUGGGCGGAAGCCUGACGCAGCGACGCCGCGUGGGGAUGACGGCCUCGGUUGUAA
rnacentral:rRNA from 1 species